rnacentral:rRNA from 1 species
AAACACUGAUAUGGACCGAUAGCGAAUAGUACCGUGAGGGAACGGUGAAAAGAACCCCGGGAGGGGAAUGAAAGAGAACCUGAAACCGUAUGUCUACAAACAGUCGGAGCGCUUUACAUGCGCGAGGCGUGCCUAUUGAAGAAUGAACCGGCGAGUUACUGUUGCCAGCGAGGUUAAGCGGGAAACGCGGAGCCGAAGCGAAAGCGAGUCUGAACAGGGCG